AUUGAGUGGGAGUAAUCGCAUAAAAUAAUUCCUUGUAUUCAAAUGAUGCGAGAAGCUAAAAAGAAUAAAUUGAGCAGUAGUUCCAAGUGGUUAUAUUUGGGCAAAAGAUAAGACCGUAGCGUUUAGCUGC
rnacentral:sRNA from 22 species